rnacentral:rRNA from 1 species
UAACAGAGGGUGCAAGCGUUAAUCGGAUUUACUGGGCGUAAAGCGCGCGUAGCGGCUAAUUAAGUCAAAUGUGAAAUCCCGAGCUUAACUUGGGAAUUGCAUUCGAGUAACUGGUUAGCUAGAGUGUGGGAGGGGAUGGUAGAAUUCCAGGUGUAGCGGUGAAAUGCGUAGAGAUACUGGAGGAAUACCGAUGGCGAAGGCAGCCAUCUGGCCUAACACUGACGCUGAGGUGCGAAAGCAUGGGGAGCAA